rnacentral:lncRNA from 13 species
AUGUGCAUGCAUGGAACGAGCGAGUGGGGCGAGCUGACACGGGGGAGAAACUUCCGUACCCUCUUCCUGUGUCCCUACAAAGGCCUGGACAAUGCAGUCCCAGCCCUGCUGCAGAACAUGGCCAGGCCCCACCUUCCUCCUUCCUGCAGGGAUAUCCUCUCCUAUAGAAGAGAUGUAUCCGCUACCACCAGAAGUUGGGGACAUUUCCGCUCACCCCAAAACGAAUUCGUUCCUGCAUUGACACAAAUGACAUCUUUCAGAACUGCAAACACAUCACAUUUCAAUGGAGAUCUUUGGGACGGCCGAUCAGCGUCAGUUGCCCCACAGAAUCUCAGGUCCCUACUCCCUUUGAAGCAUUUGGGCUGUUCUGCACCGACUGCCUCAGAGAAAGGAUGUCACAGUGGAAAACAGAACCGGGAAAAGACUUCCUGA